rnacentral:lncRNA from 1 species
CUCCCGGGUUCAAACGAUUCUUCUGCCUCAGCCUCUUGAGUUGCUGGGAUUACAGGCACCAGUCACCACGCCCAGCUAAUUUUUGUAUUUUUAGUAGAGGCGGGGUUUCACCAUGUUGGCCAGGCUGGUCUUGAACUCCUGACCUCGAGAUCCGCCUGGCUCAGCGUCCCAAAAUUCUGGGAUUACAGGUGUGAGCCACCGUGUCUGGCUGCAAUUUUUAAUAUUUGACUGUUCCCAGCCUUUGUGAGUUUCCUCCUUUGCCUGUGAAGAGAAUAUCGUCUUUGAUGCAUGCAACUUCACAGUCCACAAGGUGACUCAGCCUUCAUCAAAUGAUUUCCUGCAAUUUUUAAAAAAUGCUGAAUUGAAGAAUUUUCCUAUGAUGAGGGAGAGAUGAGAAGUAAAGGCAAGGACUUGAUGAGAAAGGCCCAAAAGAGCUGCAUAAGAAGGAGAGGGAGGAAAAAGCCACCUGGGUACGGAAAGUGCCUGGAGAAGGAGGAGAGAGACUCCUCUGAGUGUGGGGAAGACAAGUCUGUUGGCAACGAGAGGCUCUGCAGAAUACAGGAGCACUAGCCAGGAGAGGAAGAAGAGGACACACCCCUCCCUACCCUUUCCAGCCUCUGGUAACCAUCCUUCUACUCUCUAUCCCGGUGGGGUACAGAUGUUGUCCUGUGACGCCUGUCCCCACUUCGUGCACGGAGCGGACUGCCCAGCAUGCACAGAUGGAAUGGGAACAACUGCAAUGACCACCUUCGGAAGAGUGAGCCUGGGAGGCCCCCUGGAGCCCCAACUUGGGGCGGAGGCUGGUGACCUGUCAGCCACUCUCAGACAGUCCCACCCUAUGGCCUGAAAGGGUGGUGGCCAGGUAGGUGGUUGACUUUCCUCCCUGCCCCCUCUUCCUUAUUCAGUGUUAAAGAGCUAGCAUUUGAGGGUGGCCUCGGGUGACAAAUUCCCCACUGUUAAAACCCCCUGUGGGUUGGCAGCAGCCAGGAAGAACCGGCUUUUUGUCUGGGAGUAGAGGCAAGGGCGAUGGCUUAUCUCACUGUUCCUUUUCAUUUGGGACAUAAUACAUCCCACAAAGCUCAGGUCCCGCACUGAAAAAAUCAAUUACAUUGCACAGCAUUUUUAGUGCUCUGAGUCUCCGAGCAAAGGAAAUAGGUG